rnacentral:lncRNA from 10 species
UUUUUAGUAGAGACGGGGUUUCUCCAUGUUGGUCAGGCUGGUCUUGAACUCCCGACCUCAGAGCAGGUCCUCCAGGGCCCCAGCAAAUGCCAGGCCUGUUUACUAAUGACAGCAAAGGUCCACCAUCACUUAGCAGGAAUGAGAGCAUUCGCUUUCAGCCUGCCCUGCCAGCCUCACAGGGCUGCGGCAUGAACCCCUGUAGGGUUAGUUUAUGAGUGCGUAGGGAAGUGCUCCCCAGAAAGCAGGAGAAACACGGAUGGCCAGAUACACGUUUGAGCCUCUGACAACUACAGUCACUGUGUACUAACUAGUGGUGAGGUUGGCAAUUUGUAAAAAUUACUCAUUAAAGAGGGAGACAGAGCCAGGCUCCGUGGCUCAUGUCUAUAAUCCCAGCACUUUGGGAGGCCAAGGUGGGAGGACUGCUCGAGGUCAGGAGUUUAAGACCAGCCUGGACAACAUAGCAAGACCCCCGUCUCUACAAAAAAUACAAAAAUUGCCGGGUGUGGUGGCUCAUGCCUGUAAUCCCAGCACUUUGGGAGGUCGAGGCGGGCGGAUCAUGAGGUCAGGAGUUGGAGACCAGCCUGGCCAAUAUGGUGAAACCCUGUCUCUACUAAAAAUACAAAAAAAAUUAGCUGGGUGUGGUGGUGCGCACCUGUAGUCCCAGCUACUCAGGAGGCUGAGGCAGAAGAAUCCUUGAACCCGUGAGGCGGAGGUUGCAGUGAGCCAAGAUCGCACCACUGCACUCCAACCUGGGCAACACAGCGGGACCCCAUC